UUGAAGAUAAUCUUUUAAUUAUAGCAUUAUCUGAUUGCAUUAAUCUGUUACAUAAUUCACAAGAUUAUUUCACAGAUAUUGCCAGAAAUCUCCAACUGGAAAUGACCCACACCUGAAAUAAAGAGCUUCAUGAUGAAACCGCGGAUGCUGUUUGAAAACAUCUUCUCUAUGAAUGUCUGCGAACUCUCUUCACACAGGAGGCGCACAUGAGCACAGCAGCAGCACGUCUGAACACGUCCUCCUCUUGAGUGACAGGCCCUGGCCCCUCCUCCUCCACCAAACAGACACGCCCCUUCUCACAGCGCACCACUGAGUGAUGCAGGCUCAGGCUCCAUGACAUCACCUCAGAAUCCGAAACAUUCUCUACACACAAAAAGAGGAGAGAAUGAUUUUCUGAUGAAGAUGUGAGUGGAGUUUUGCGAUGAGUGGUUGCUAUUAGGAAGUUUUUAUUGGAAUUAACAGAAACUUAAACAACAAACUUCAGUAUCCAAAAGACUCAACACACAAACUUAAGAACUUCUGUCCUGUUUACCCCAUAUUGAACGGUCAGUAUGUGUGGUUGCUGUAGGAACGGCCCUGAAUGGGGGUUUUGUUGUUGUUUUUGGACCCUGCUGAUCCCAUUCACAUGUUUGGCAUUAGUCCCAGAGUUAAAGAACCUUUACAAGAUGUUCACAAUACACAGAAAACUAAACUAGUAGUGAGAGACCCUUGGAAAGAGCUCACGAAUCUUCUAACUGUAGUGAAGUACACAGCUCAAGUUAUAAUAUGUUAGUGCUUUCUUUAUGGACAGCAUCUGCUGAUGAUUUUAUGUUUGUAAAAAUGAGCUGAAAUUGUGUUUACAGUAAUGCACUUACAGUACAAUGGAAGUCUAUGGGAAAUUCCAGAGGGUUUAUGGUUGUAAAAUCAAUUCUUCUGUACAAAAAUGUUAUUUGAGCUUGUUGAAGAAAAAUUCAUUUUGGUUGAUUUGACAUGAUUCUAUAUGCUCAUGAAACAUUGUUUAGUGCAUGCUUAACUUAGAACUGCUGUGCAAGUCACAGUGAAUUAAAGUGAGGGGCCUAAACGGAGACGAGGGGGUCAACUGGGAGAACAAAGGGUGCCUGUCCAUGACCUAGAGGGUCGUCUAGGCCCUAAAUAUAAGGGACAGCGCUUUAGAAGUAUGAUAUAGUGGAGUGUUUCUUUUUAUUUUCUUACCAUGUGUGGAAAAGUACAGCUGUUAGGAAUUUGUAACCUUGAAUGCUGAGGGAGAUAUCUGACCCUGGACGUCAAAACCUGUCUUAAGUGUCAAUUCUUCGAAAUUGCUGAAUAAAUAAGCCUUCCAUUGAUGUAUGGUUUGUUAGGAUCGGACAAUAUUUGGCUGAGAUACACCUAUUUGAAUAUCUGGAAUCUGAGGGUGCAAAAAAAUCUAAAUAUUGAGAAAAACACCUUUAAAGUUGUCCAAAUGAAGUUCUUAGCAAUGCAUAUUAGUAAUCAAAAAUUAAGUUUUGAUACAUUUACGGUAAGAAAUUUACAAAAUAUCUUCAUGGAACAUGAUCUUUACUUAAUUUCCUAAUGAUUUUUGGCAUAAAAGAAAAUCGAUAAUUUUGACCCAUACAAUGUAUUUUUGGCUAUUGCUACAAAUAUACCCCAGUGACUUAAGACUUAAGGUUUUGUGGUCCAGGGUCACAUAUAAGGUGCAGGGAACCCUCACUUUUUCGUCACACUCUGCAGCGACUUGUGUUUCUGUACGACUGUCUGACCUUCUUAGCAAAGAAUAAAACCUUUGAAAGACAACUGAGUGAGUUUGUCUCUUACAUGGUGAGAGUGAUUAUUUAAUUUGCCACAACAAGCUCUAAAGUUGUGGGAAAACAGUUGAUGAAGUUCUGGUUAUGAUCAAGUUUUUCAACUUUUUCUGGUAUUUAUGCGCAUCAAUUAGAAAUAAAUAACUGCAUUUACAUGGCUAGAAUAGGCGGUGACAUAUGAGAUAUCAUUUUGAACAGUUCGUAAGUGAUUUUAAUCAUGCUAGUCUCAUUUAUUUAUGUGUAAUGUUCAGUUUUGGCUUGUAUUUUAAUGUCCUGCCCUAUAGAUGUCCAUUGUAAGAUUUUUCUUAUUCAAACUGACAAAUGACUGCCAAUUGACAGCAUGCAACAGAAGCUGUCUAGAAAGCACUGAAGCCACCAGCUGAUUGUAUUUUUAUGUAGUAUGGUGUAAUGCGAUACCACGUUUAUUAAUAGAGCCUCAUCUCUGCACAC